GGAAAGAUGGCAGAGUGGUUGAAUGCGGCAGUCUCGAAAACUGUUGGUCACUUAUGUGACUCGGGAGUUCGAAUCUCCCUCUUUCCG
rnacentral:tRNA from 1 species